GACGAACGCUGGCGGCGUGCCUAAUACAUGCAAGUCGAACGAACCGCGACUAGGUGCUUGCACUUGGUCAAGGUGAGUGGCGAACGGGUGAGUAACACGUGGGUAACCUACCUCAUAGUGGGGGAUAACAGUCGGAAACGACUGCUAAUACCGCAUAGGACAUAGGAUCACAUGAUCCAGUGAGGAAAGGUGGCGCAAGCUAUCGCUAAGAGAUGGACCCGCGGUGCAUUAGCUAGUUGGUAGGGUAAAGGCCUACCAAGGCAAUGAUGCAUAGCCGACCUGAGAGGGUGAUCGGCCACAUUGGGACUGAGACACGGCCCAAACUCCUACGGGAGGCAGCAGUAGGGAAUCUUCCGCAAUGGACGCAAGUCUGACGGAGCAACGCCGCGUGAGUGAAGAAGGUCUUCGGAUCGUAAAGCUCUGUUGUUAGAGAAGAACAGCGCAUAGAGUAACUGUUAUGCGUGUGACGGUAUCUAACCAGAAAGCCACGGCUAACUACGUG
rnacentral:rRNA from 1 species